CCUUCUCCUUCUCCUUCUCCUUCUCCUUCUCCUUCUCCUUCUCCUUCUCCUUCUCCUUCUCCUUCUCCUUCUCCUUCUCCUUCUUUUUCCUUUAUUUACAUAUUGACAUUCUGGAAAAUGCCAGUUAUGAAGGGUGAAUUGUAGAUAAUUACAUCUUUCAAGCAUCUCAAAUCUUUUUAAGUUGAGUGUGUGUGUCAAUCACAAUAAUUGUGAUUAAUAGGAACAGGUUAGAUUUCUUUGUUUCUUUUCCAGUGUUGCUUCUUGGGCUUACCUAAAUAUUCCCAGGCUGACUCUUAGCCUGCUUCCAACUGAAUAAAAACUACUUAUACACCCAAUAUGUUACAAUACACUAAGAGAGCUAAGCUCUCUGGUUCUAUGCUUAAUAAUUAUGUAAAAGAUGGAAUUGUUUCUGAAAUGGGAUUUUUUUUUUGUUAAGGUUUGUUUUUGAAGCUAUUCAAAAUAGCUUCAGAAUUUGAGAAGAAUGUUUGAGUGGGCAGAGUCUAAAUUAAGCAAUAAAUUUGAAGUGCAAUGUUAUUAGGAAUUAGGCAUGCAGACUGAGGUUUUUCAGAGCAACUUAGACAACACAGAUAUACAGUGCCUAUAAAAUGUAAUGGAAGUUGCAUACAUGCAACUUCACAGUUUUGAAAGUCUCUGCUGUAGUAACUUUAUGACUCUAUUUUGAAGCAGUUUUGCAAUCCCUUCAUUUCCUUCUGCUUCAGCUGAUUGCAGGAUUUUUCUUUCCAAAUUGUGAUUGGCUUCAACUUCAGUCUUCUAAAUCUCAGUCAAUUUAAAAACUUAAAAAUAUGUCAUUUCUGAAAUGCUGUGGCUUCAAUAACAGUAAAAAGGGGAUGGGAAGGAAGGGGAACAGAAAAAAAGGUCAUGACCUGAAUUAAAAAUGCUUUUGAUAUAUUAAGUUUAUUUUAGCAGUUUGGGUCUCUUUGGAAUGUAGACUGGUAAAAUUUGCUGUUUUUUUUGGGGUAUAGGUUAUAUUUUCUGCAAAUGUCAUUCUCUCUGCUUUCUUCUUGUCAUCAUCUCCUUAGUCUCAAAAAAGACUGCCUGACUUGUUUAUGUGAAGUUGAUGACAGAAUUUAGACAAACAGGAAGGUAAGGAAAUCAUUAUGCUCCUAAUUCUAAGAGCAAGGCGAACAUAAUCCAUAGGUAAAGCAACAUUUGGCUAUUGUAAUUGUUCCACUGGGGGGGGACACUUUGCCCAGACAGAAAGCAGCAUUUGUGGGGAGAGAAUCAGAAAAGUGGAGAACAUAUAUUCAAUCCUUUGAGAUUUAUUUGUGUAAAAGUUAGCUUAAACGGAAAACAGAAACUACAUAUUACUCUUUAAUAUUUUAAUGGUCAUAGUUUAUCCAAAUCCCUGAAGAUUAAAUGCUUAAAGACAAUAAGCAACAAAUGAAAUAAAUUAAAACACAAUAGUCUCAAGUGCUCUGUACAAUAGUCUUGAAGACUACCCAGAAAGUACAUCUGUUGUUGGAUGACGAGAAUGUGCUUGAUAAACAACAAAAUAGCAGUGCCACUGGCAUGGCAGAAUGCAUUUUAAGCUAGUCAAGAUAAAAUUGUGAAGCAUAAUAAUACCUACCUCUUGUAUCUUCAGAUCUCAGUGUUUUAUAGAGUAAAAUAGAGCAACAAAAAUCCCUUUCAAAGAUCUCUAUCUUUUAAAACCAACAAACAGGCACAGUUUACUCAAGGUUGUGCAUUACAGCCCUAACAAAGCUGGAAUUUGAACCAAAGUCUCCUUUAUGACCUAGAACGCUGCCUUAUUAAAUAGGUCAUAUCUAUCCAUGGAGCAGCAGGGGUAUGGUUCUAUCAGAUUUGUAAACUUUUGCAUUUUCUUAUCUCUUUUGUUGUUGUUGUUGUUUGGUUUUGUUUGUUUGUUUGUUUUUGUAUCAUUAGAAGUCUCCUGAAGAGACCACAAAAGUUUUUGCUUUCUGCUAUGGUGUUGCUGUGUAAAAUUAUUAUGCUUAUAAUUAGAUUGAACUGGUUAUUAUCUGUUUAAUUUUCUUUUGGUAUGCAGAAACAGCUCAAUACCUGUUUCAAUUCUUUUGACACAAUGACGCUAGUCCAAUGUGAGUGCUGGAUGUUUAAACCUGAGGAUUCAUCUAGUGGAAGGGGAUUCUGGGAGGCCUAAAAGGGGAUAUUGGGAGGCUAAAAGUCAGUUUAGCUGAAUGUGUGCUCAUUAUCAUCCCAACCUAUUGUCUCAGAAGGUGAGGCAUCAGUACAACUUCUGUAAAUAUCUGGAAAGUGGGCACCAAAACCAGUAUAUGAACAUCUAACUAAAUCUCUUGUAAGCUUUAGUAAUGUGUACUUUUGAGUGUCAUUCAAAUGGCAAUUUAGAGAUAUGUUUUAAUUGGGAACUGUUGUCUCUCCUUGAAGUUGAGCUGCUGCAGAACCAUGUGUAUUCCCAGGGACCCUGGAUUAUGAUUGUCCACAUACCUCACUCAACACAAGUCAGUUGAGGGUCAGCUCAUGCUGGGAUUAUGCUCACUGAAGGAAACACAGAGUGCCUGAGCCUAUGGUGAAAGGCCUAUUCACAAAAGACUCACCGAUUUGAAGAGGAUCCAGAAACCUCUUCAAAGGAGAAAAAUCCUUUGGAUUUCAUUUUUAUUAUUUUUUUUAUUUUUUUUUUUCUGGAGAAGAAUAAUCAGUUCCCUCUAGCCAUGGCUGCAGAUGAGGAACUUGAACUCAGGGUGGGUCAUGCAAUGCAGCUGCCUCUGAUGGUCAGAACAGAGAGAGGGCAUGGCCUCCAUCUGGUGUGAGACUGAUUGGGGCUGCAGCCAUCUCUUGGACCCCCUGAAACAUGGGGGUUACAGGAGCAGGAUGCCAGUAGACAUCUCACAAGCCCUGCAAGAUGUGAAGCUCAACACCAGAUGUCAGAAGCACUUUCUUGACCAAGCCUUUGGUCAAGCGAUGGGGGUCUUAGGAUGUGUGAAAAGUAUUGGCCAGUCAUCUAACCUAAGGCUAUUGAACAGCCUCUUGAAUGUACUCCAGUACUAGGUUUUGGACUUCAGGGAAACUAGGAAAUGAUGUUGUGCCUUGGAUUUAGUAAGUAAUUAUGGCAUUUGCACAUGUGAAACUCUGAAGAAAGAAUCAUAAACAAAAUGAAAAAAAAAAAAAA